AGUCUUAAAAGAUAGAGGAGUGUUUUCUGAAUAUGAAUAUAUUCAUUGGAUGUCCCCCUUCGCAACGAACAACUUUCAUUACUGACUUGUUUUGAUCUGAUCCAUAGUUCCCAAGAUAUCUAGAGACGCGGUAGCGUCUCGACGCCAAGUACAUGAAAAAAUAGCCUCCCCGUAUAUGCCUGGCGUUGGCGCUACCGCGUAUCUUUUACUCGAGAAAACGCGAUUCCAACCUAACCCGAAACUUCUGUCAUUAAUAUCUUGUCACGCCUGCUGUAUUUUUUAAAUCUAAAGGCAUUUUUUUCAUGUAAAUCGCACAUAAGCUUUCGAAUAAAACCAAACUCAAUAAAAUCGGUCCACGAACGACAGAGAUAUCGUAAUAUCAUAUCAUGAAUGUGUCAAAAACUGCAGCAUUUUUCUUUUCCUUUGACAAGGAAUUUUUCGUCAACACUUAGCCAAUAGGACCUAAGGCCGUUCGUCGAUUCGUCGACUCUCGGAAUCGUUCGGCAGAGUUCGUGGUGGCCACAUGCCGCUCAUUCAUAACCUGUCAAGUGUCAAAUUUUUUACACUAUUGAAUUAUUCGUGUACUUUUUUAAUUUCUUUAUACCAGCAAAAUGUUUUUAAUAUAGUAACAAAUUGCAGCCAGAGUUGUAAAGUGUUGAUUAAUUUUAAUUACAAGCAACCUGUUUUGAAUUUAAACUCUUUUGUAAACAAUUCUGGUAUCCUAAUCCAAUUUUUGGAUGAGAGGGGAGCAUACAAGCAUGGCUUUUGCUGUUAUAUGGUGUGGGCUGAACCCACAAAUCAUGAACUUGAUUGCUAUUUUUGUUUAUGCAAAAUUUUCGGAUUUAAUAGGAAAGAGAAAAGGAAUAUAAUUUAUCCGAAUGUAUCAUUUGUUAUUCGUCCUAUUGCUCAUUCCAAAGAGUUACCUAUACCUGUACCAACAUCACUAUCAACUACAACAGAAACGUACGAGAAUGCUGUAGAAGAGUCCGAAGUCAUCAUACAGAGAAUUAUGAACACGAAAUAACAGUAUCCGUGAAACUACCGCAUUUAAUUAGUCAAUCUGAUUUUAAUGAUCUUGUGCGAGAAGGAUGGAACUUAGUUGACCGUACAACAAAUAUUACAUAUUUUAGAACUCGAUCACAUAUAUUGCAGCAGUAUUUUCAUACAAACGAAGGACUUGGGAUUUGUCAAAACGAAGCUUAAAAGCUGUAUAGUACACAAUGGAAAUGUACACCCAUCUAUCCCCAUAGCAUACUCUACAAAAAUGAAAGAAUGUUACAACACACAAAAAACAGUUUUAUGCAAAAUACAGUACAGCAAAUAUGUAUAAAUGGAACGUUUGUAGAGAUUUGAAAGUAAUCAGCAUAUUGCUUGGUCUUCAAGGAGGUUAUACAAAAUAUUUUUGUUUUCUUUGGGAAUGAGACAGUCAAGCAAGAGAUUAGCAUUAUAUUAGAAAAAAUUGGCCAUCAAGAAAAAAGUUAGUUCCUGGAGAAAAAAAUAUCUAACAAAUAAAUUUAAUAGAUUCAAAUAAAGUAUUUUUAUCGUCAUUGCACAUUAAAUUAGGCAUAAUGAAAAAUUUUGUGAAGGCAAUAAAUAAAUCUGGAUCUGGAUUUGCAUACUUAAAAACAAAAUUUCCACAAAUAUCUGAUGCCAAAAUUAAGGGGGGAAUAUUUGUUGGCCCCCAAAUCAGAGAAUUAAUGCAGGACGACAACUUUAUAGGAACAUUAAAUAAAGAAGAAAAAAGUGUAUGGCUUUCCUUCAAAAAAAUUAAUGAAAAUUUUCUAGGAAAACAUAAAUCAGAAAAUUAUAGUGAACAAACUUUUAAACAGAUGAAGGAAACUUGGCUGCAAUAUGUCAUUGAAAUUGCAUUUUCUAUUAUACAUUUGCAUUUGGAUCUUUUCCCUGGAAAUCUCGGUGACGUGAGCGACGAGCAUGGGGAACGCUUCCACCAAGGCAUAUCAACAAUUGAAAAACGAUAUCAAGGGAAAGAGAUGUCUGCAAUGCUUGCAGAUUAUUGUUGGACACUAAUGAAUGAAAAUAAGGACGCACUUUACAAGUGCCAAGCAGGAUGGAAUCAUUUUUAAACAAUAUUGUGUAUGGGGACAUGUCCCAAGUAGAUUUUACUCACCAAACACCAACUUCAAUAAAAAAGGUAUAACUUUUCAUAAAAAUACAUAAGUAUUUCGUGAAAAGUUCACGCAUCAGCAACUUUUUGAAUUUCGGUAUUCAUGUAUAGGCAUUCAAAGAAGCAAAUAAUUCUAAACGAAUGUAUCUACAUAUUUAUAAAACACUCCUCUAUCUUUUAAGACUAAAUAGAACUCUCUAGCGUUCGUAGUUUAUAUUUUCUCUCAAAAUCGACCGAUUUUACAAAACCUCAUGUUCUUCGAAAACUGGACAUGAUGAAGCAAUUUGGAUUCCAGAUUCGUAUUUAGAACAAGGAACACUAUAAGAAUUUCCUAAUGGAUAUUGCAAAACCUAAAGAAAAUUUUAAUUUGUUGGACAGUGUAAUUUUAAUAGUAAUUAUCAACACUUUAUCUAUCGAGAUAGACUUAUCUAUAAGCUUUUUAAUUUCAAUGUCCAUAUACUGCAAUCUGUUAACUGUGUUGAUGGCCAUCUACUUAUAAAUAAUCAGUGUUUCUCUAUUCGAAAGAUAUAUGCUUGAAGAUAUAACACAAAAAUUGAUUUUUGAAAAAUCUUUUCUCCAAGAAACAAUUUUAUUAUUAUUAUUAUUAUUACUUAUUAUAAACGGGCAAUUUGUUGAAAUACAAUAUAAUAAAAUAUAUGGAUCUAAAAAUAGUCAUUAAAAAGAAAUGGAAUGAAGGAAAAAUGAUGAAUGAAGAUGAAAAUGAAAAUGAGAAAUGAGGAAUGAGGAAUGCAGAAUUAAAAAUGAAAAAAAAUCGCAAUUUCUAAGUAUUGCAUCCCUUAACGUAAGUGACGUCUCCUGGACCACCGCAACAGACGGAUAGGGGUAUCAUGUGUUGAAUCUGAGCUCUGCAUUGGACGCAUUUCUUCAUAAGGGUAGCGCAACCUUCGCAAGCACAUAUGUGACCACAUGGACGAAAUAACACGCCAGCUUUGCGAUCGGAACAGACUACGCACUCCUCGAUCUGCAAAAAACAAAUAUGUCGUUUUUAUCAAUUAAACAUAAAUUUAAUUUCGAUUAAAUGAAAUAGUAUGACGAUACUUUCGCCACCAAUGAAACAUUGCAAAUUAAGAGUUUCAAAAACAUUGAUAUAUAAAGUGAUAUCGAGUAUAAUUAAUAUGUCAUUCAAGUAGAAUUGUAAAAAUAUAUUGUGUGUAUAAAAUAAAAGUAA